rnacentral:lncRNA from 1 species
GAGAUAGAAAAGAAAGAGAUUAGAGAAGAAUUACAAGAAGGAUUCACGAGUGAUUCUUGAUAAAACUGCUCAAAUGGUGUUUGAAACAAUCGUCUCUGAGUUUCUCCGUUAAGGCACAAGUUUCCAAACUUCUCAAUAGUAAAAAGGAUCCCUAAAAACUGAGGAAAAACGUGUUUUAUUGUAUUCUAUUGCGUGUCACGUGCCUUGGGCGCACUUCAGGCGCACCUGGACAGUGUUAGUUGUGCAAAAAUGAGCACGAGGCGCAGGUUUUUGCGCUUCUGGCGCAAAACCUCUUAUGUCUGGCGUAUAAUGCAUUUUGAUUUUCUUUUGAGUUCGAAUUUAGCUCCAGUGUCCUCUUAAAAGAUGUAGCUCUGGAUCUUAGCUUUCAUGUUCACUUGUUUUGAAUUUAAUUGGACAUCUACGACUCUAGAUAUGGCUGAAAUACUACACAUAUGUCAUGUUGAUUUCUCUCCAAAAUUCAACACUGCAUUAAAACAAAGAAACAACCCAAAACUAGGAAAAUCU